rnacentral:lncRNA from 1 species
GUACUGGUUCAACAACAAGUGGCUACGAGGAAAGAUAUGAAGAGGAUAUUGGAGGUGCAGCAGGGACAAUAAUAGCAGAUCAUACAAUAAAUAUUUUAGGAGCAACAGUUCCAGCAGCAACAAGGAGCUAAAAAUCAGUAUGAAUGUCAAAUCAAUUUAUUAGAUUUCAAAAAGUAUGCACCAUCGGCAUUCUCAAGAACCUC